rnacentral:lncRNA from 11 species
AUGAGUCUUCGGCAACACAGACAGAUGAUUUCUUUAGUAGAGACAUGGCAGAAAGUUUUGUUUUCCAGAUUUACCCAGAGCCCUGAGUGAAAGAUUCAUUGUCUUUGAAUAUGGCCUGCUUAGAAACCUUUCUUCAUUCUAUGCCACAUCAGGGUUACAUAUCUCAGUAAGUAUUCAAAGUAAAUCUAUUCUUUUUAAAAACGGAUAGAAAUGA